GUCCACGCCGUAAACGAUGGAUACUAGCUGUUCGGAGCAAUCUGAGUGGCUAAGCGAAAGUGAUAAGUAUCCCACCUGGGGAGUACGUUCGCAAGAAUGAAACUCAAAGGAAUUGACGGGGCCCGCACAAGCGGUGGAGCAUGUGGUUUAAUUCGAUGAUACGCGAGGAACCUUACCAAGGCUUAAAUGUAGAUUGACAGGUUUGGAAACAGACUUUUCUUCGGACAAUUUACAAGGUGCUGCAUGGUUGUCGU
rnacentral:rRNA from 1 species